rnacentral:rRNA from 1 species
UACGAAGGGGGCUAGCGUUGCUCGGAAUUACUGGGCGUAAAGGGCGCGUAGGCGGAUAGUUUAGUCAGAGGUGAAAUCCCGGGGCUCAACCUCGGAACUGCCUUUGAUACUGGCUAUCUUGAGUAUGGGAGAGGUGUGUGGAACUCCGAGUGUAGAGGUGAAAUUCGUAGAUAUUCGGAAGAACACCAGUGGCGAAGGCGACACACUGGCCCAUUACUGACGCUGAGGCUCGAAAGCGUGGGGAGCAAACAGG